GCCUCCUACGGGGGGCAGCAGUGGGGAAUAUUGGGCAAUGGGCGCAAGCCUGACCCAGCAACGCCGCGUGAAGGAAGAAGGCUUUCGGGUUGUAAACUUCUUUUAUCAGGGACGAAGCAAGGGACGGUACCUGAUGAAUAAGCCACGGCUAACUACAUGCCAGCAGCCGCGGUAAUACGUAGGUGGCAAGCGUUAUCCGGAUUUACUGGGUGUAAAGGGCGUGUAGGCGGG
rnacentral:rRNA from 1 species